CACGGCCGUAUCCCUGGCCACGGUCAUAUUAUGCUCGUCCGCGGCAUCAAGCGCCGCUCCAGCUGAUCGAUCGAUCACCCGGGUAAAAGGUCGCCGGCAUGGAGGCCUUCCAGUUCCAGCGUCGACGCACCUCGGUCAGCCCCUCCCCCUCCUCCCUCAUCCUAUGCCCUUCGUCUUCAACUGCCGAUUUGCUCACGCCGGGGCUCAUCCCCUUCCCUUAAUUUGGUCCGGACUUAAUUCGGAACACCGACCCAAUUGGAGGGGGACGCGCGCGCAGGCUGCCCAGUCCACUCCGGUCUUGAGCUAGCUCAAGGGAGACGUCGACCAGCCCUGCAACUGCAAAAGGAAGACCCUGGGCAUGCCCAUGAUGGCCAGUACAGCAAGACCCAUGGGACUGCUCAUGCUUUGAAGCCAAAGACUUCACUCCAAGAGCAUACUACGUUGCGAGCAAUACCAACUCAGAGUGCCCUGAGGAGGUCGAGGCGUUGUCGCAAACUCAGAGAGCAUAACCUUACGCUGUCGUGUGUGGUGUUGCGGUGGAUGGACUCCGUUGCGCGCCGUGGGUCAGUACCAUCUUCGGAUGGCUUUGGUUAAGAAUUUGCAAAGUUGCUUUGGCUCUUGGGGAUGCGAGGCAGCAGCAUCAACAAGAGGCAAGUGGAGUUAGACGUGGCUUGGAGGUGGAUAAGGAACCUUGGAGGAGUAGCUUUGAGUUAUUGCCUGGACACAAUCAGAAAUACUCCCUCCAGUCUCUUUUAAUUGACUCGGAUUUAGAACAACUUUGUACUAAAUUUGAGUCAAUUAAAAAUGACCGGAGGGAGUACAUAAGAAGCUGCUACAAGAGACAUACUUGUGUAUGGGAUGGAUCGUGCUGCUAUUUGGUACAGCGGACCGGCUUGGGCUGUCACCCUUGCCAGCGGAGAAGAUGGCGCAAGAUGAGAUAACGAUGAGGUCUAAAUGGUAGCCAUGCCUUGGAAGCCGAAAGACAAGAAGACACCAUGUUCCUUGCUCGAGCUGGGGCCUCUAUGCAACAGGUUAUAUGAGGCUGUGGUCGUCGUUUUUGCUGGCCUUUUCGGAUUGAGCUGCGCUGGUUGGCUGCAACAUAACUCUAGGGCUUCGUGACCGAACACCUGUGUCUUGAAUUCUGAAGGCUGGGAGUUUGACCAUUUUUAUCACUAGAGGUACUGGACAUUUAUAUGAUUGAUGAUAUCCAGAUCGUCUCUUUAUACAUGCGGUGUGUUGCUAGCUGCUGGAUGCAGGGAAGGUGUGUUGCUAGCUGCUGGAUGCAGGGAAGUUGAUCAUAUUGUUUCUGCAUUUCUUAUGGGCAUGGAGGUUGUUGAGCUGCGGGAGGGCGAGAGAUACUUUCUGCAGCUCGGCUGGUAAACAUUGAGCCAGAACAUCGACAAGCUUGCUUGCAGCAAUGCAGGCAUGGACGGGACGGUUGGCUGCGAAGUGGGAUCAAGGUGCCCAUGGCCAUGGAGUGGACAAGCUAUAGAGAUUUAUCCUUGAAUGAAAUGAAGCUGAUGAUGUUUGUAUGUAAAUAGGUUAGACUUGCUGGGCAUAGAAUUGGUGUGUCUACUGCUACGAUUGUCGACUGAAGUCAAGGAUGAUUUUUGUAGAGGGAUUUGAUUUUUUGAUGUGAGUUGUGUUUGAUU